AGAGUUGAUCAUGGCUCAGGAUGAACGCUAGCUACAGGCUUAACACAUGCAAGUCGAGGGGCAGCAUAACGAAAGCUUGCUUUGUGAUGGCGACCGGCGCACGGGUGAGUAACGCGUAUCCAACCUUCCCUAUACUAGAGGAUAGCCCGGCGAAAGUCGGAUUAAUACUCUAUGUUCUUCGUAGAAGACAUCUGAAAUGAAGCAAAGGUUUACCGGUAUAGGAUGGGGAUGCGUCUGAUUAGGUUGUUGGCGGGGUAACGGCCCACCAAGCCCACGAUCAGUAGGGGUUCUGAGAGGAAGGUCCCCCACAUUGGAACUGAGACACGGUCCAAACUCCUACGGGAGGCAGCAGUGAGGAAUAUUGGUCAAUGGACGAGAGUCUGAACCAGCCAAGUAGCCGUGCAGGAUGACGGCCCUAUGGGUUGUAAACUGCUUUUAUACAGGGAUAAGUGACGUACGUGUACGUUUUUGUAGGUACUGUAUGAAUAAGGACCGGCUAAUUCCGUGCCAGCAGCCGC
rnacentral:rRNA from 1 species